rnacentral:rRNA from 1 species
CCUACGGGUGGCAGCAGUGAGGAAUAUUGGUCAAUGGGCGGAAGCCUGAACCAGCCAAGUCGCGUGAGGGAAUAAGGCCCUACGGGUCGUAAACCUCUUUUGCCGGGGAGCAAGGGCGGGGACGUGUCCCGGCCCGGAGAGUGCCCGGAGAAAAAGCAUCGGCUAACUCCGUGCAAGCAGCCGCGGGAAUACGGAGGAUGCGAGCGUUAUCCGGAUUUAUUGGGUUUAAAGGGGGCGUAGGCCGCAUGUCAAGCGUGCUGUGAAAUGUCCGGGCUCAACCCGGGCCUUGCAGCGCGAACUGGCGUGCUUGAGUCCGCGGAAGGCAGGCGGAAUUCGUCGUGUAGCGGUGAAAUGCUUAGAUAUGACGAAGAACCCCGAUUGCGAAGGCAGCUUGCUGCAGCGGAACUGACGCUGAUGCUCGAAAGCGCGGGUAUCGAACAGGAUUAGAUACCCCUGUAGUC